CCUUCAUGAAGCCGGAAUUGCUAGUAAUGGCAGGUCAGCAUACUGCCGUGAAUACGUUCCCGGGCCUUGUACACACCGCCCGUCACACCAUGAGAGUUGGGAAUACCCGAAGCCUGUGAGCUAACUAUAUGAGGCAGCAGUCGAAGGUAGAAUCAAUGAUUGGGGGUGAAGUCGUAACAAGGUACC
rnacentral:rRNA from 1 species